rnacentral:rRNA from 1 species
CGGCGGGACGGGGUGGAGUAACGCGUGGGUAACCUGCCUCAUACAGGGGGGUAACAGUUAGAAAUGACUGCUAAUACCGCAUAAGACCACGGUACCGCAUGGUACAGUGGUAAAAACUCCGGUGGUAUGAGAUGGACCCGCGUCUGAUUAGGUAGUUGGUGGGGUAACGGCCUACCAAGCCGACGAUCAGUAGCCGACCUGAGAGGGUGACCGGCCACAUUGGGACUGAGACACGGCCCAG